CCAGCCCCCUGGGAACCCCACAGGUACCAUCACACUGCCUUAGUAAACACCAGCCCUGGGAACCCCACAGGUACCAUCACACUGCCUUAGUAAACACCAGCCCUGGGAACCCUCACACUGCCUUAGUUAACACCAGCCCCCCUGGGAACCCCACAGGUACCACCACACUGUCUUAGUUAACACCAGCCCUGGGAACCCCACAGGUACCACCACACUGCCUUAGUAAACACCAGCCCUGGGAACCACCACACUGUCUUAGUUAACACCAGCCCUGGGAACCCCACAGGUACCAUCA